rnacentral:tRNA from 1 species
GCCGAGGUGGCCAAGAUUGCGCGUGGCCUAUCACGCUACGCCAAGCAGGCACAGGCGCUUGGGGUGCAAGUUUUCGGCGGCGGUAC